AGCUCCAAUAGCGUAUAUUAAAGUUGUUGCGGUUAAAACGCUCGUAGUUGGGUUUCUGUCGGACGCAUCAGGUCUGCCCAAGUGGCGAGUACUUGUUCUGUGUCUGGCAUCUUCUUGGGGAACGGGUGCGCACUUCAUUGUGUGGCUCGGAAACCUUGACGUUUACUUUGAGGAAAUGAGAGUGCUUCAAGCGGGUGUCCGCCACGAAUACGUUAGCAUGGAAUAAUAGCAUUGGACCUCGGAUCAUAGCUGUUGGUUGCUGGAACCGGGGUGAGGGUA
rnacentral:rRNA from 1 species